GUGGCGAACGGGUGAGUAACACGUGAGCAACCUGCCCCUGACUCUGGGAUAAGCGCUGGAAACGGCGUCUAAUACUGGAUACGAACCAUGAAGGCAUCUUCAGUGGUUGGAAAGAUUUAUUGGUUGGGGAUGGGCUCGCGGCCUAUCAGCUUGUUGGUGAGGUAAUGGCUCACCAAGGCGUCGACGGGUAGCCGGCCUGAGAGGGUGACCGGCCACACUGGGACUGAGACACGGCCCAGACUCCUACGGGAGGCAGCAGUGGGGAAUAUUGCACAAUGGGCGCAAGCCUGAUGCAGCAACGCCGCGUGAGGGAUGACGGCCUUCGGGUUGUAAACCUCUUUUAGCAGGGAAGAAGCGAAAGUGACGGUACCUGCAGAAAAAGCGCCGGCCUAACUACGUGCCAGGCAGCCGCGGUAAAUACGUAGGGCGCAAGCGUUAUCCCGGAAUUAUUGGGCGUAAAGAGCUCGUAGGCGGUUUGUCGCGUCUGCUGUGAAAUCCGGAGGCUCAACCUCCGGCCUGCAGUGGGUACGGGCAGACUAGAGUGCGGUAGGGGAGAUUGGAAUUCCUGGUGUAGCGGUGGAAUGCGCAGAUAUCAGGAGGAACACCGAUGGCGAAGGCAGAUCUCUGGGCCGUAACUGACGCUGAGGAGCGAAAGGGUGGGGAGCAAACAGGCUUAGAUACCCUGGUAGUCCACCCCGUAAACGUUGGGAACUAGUUGUGGGGUCCAUUCCACGGAUUCCGUGACGCAGCUAACGCAUUAAGUUCCCCGCCUGGGGAGUACGGCCGCAAGGCUAAAACUCAAAGGAAUUGACGGGGACCCGCACAAGCGGCGGAGCAUGCGGAUUAAUUCGAUGCAACGCGAAGAACCUUACCAAGGCUUGACAUAUACGAGAACGGGCCAGAAAUGGUCAACUUUUUGGACACUCGUAAACAGGUGGUGCAUGGUUGUCGUCAGCUCGUGUCGUGAGAUGUUGGGUUAAGUCCCGCAACGAGCGCAACCCUCGUUCUAUGUUGCCAGCACGUAAUGGUGGGAACUCAUGGGAUACUGCCGGGGUCAACUCGGAGGAAGGUGGGGAUGACGUCAAAUCAUCAUGCCCCUUAUGUCUUGGGCUUCACGCAUGCUACAAUGGCCGGUACAAAGGGCUGCAAUACCGCGAGGUGGAGCGAAUCCCAAAAAGCCGGUCCCAGUUCGGAUU
rnacentral:rRNA from 1 species